GAGGGUAUAGCUCGGUGGUAGAGAGCGUGCUUAGGGUGCGUAAGAUCCUGGGUUCAAUCCCUGGUACCUCCA
rnacentral:tRNA from 1 species